AUUGAACGCUGGCGGCAGGCCUAACACAUGCAAGUCGAGCGGAGCGGCGGACGGGUGAGUAAUGCCUAGGAAUCUGCCUAGUAGUGGGGGAUAACGACCGGAAACGGGCGCUAAUACCGCAUACUAUCAGAUGAGCCUAGGUCGGAUUAGCUAGUUGGUGGGGUAAAGGCAUACCAAGGCGACGAUCCGUAACUGGUGUGAGAGGAUGAUCAGCCACAAUGUGACUGAUACACGGCCCAGACUCCUACGGGAGGCAGCAUUGGGGAAUUUUGGACAAGUGGUGAAAGCCUGAUGCAGCAAUGCCGCGGGUGUGAUGAAGGCCUUCGGGUUGUAAAGCACUUUAAGUAGGAAAGCGUUACCUACAGAAUAAGCACCGGCUAACUACGUGCCAGCAGCCGCGGUAAUAC
rnacentral:rRNA from 1 species